rnacentral:rRNA from 1 species
ACGAACGCUGGCGGCGUGCUUAACACAUGCAAGUCGAACGGAAAGGCCCUGCUUUUGUGGGGUGCUCGAGUGGCGAACGGGUGAGUAACACGUGAGUAACCUGCCCUUGACUUUGGGAUAACUUCAGGAAACUGGGGCUAAUACCGGAUAGGAGCUCCUGCUGCAUGGUGGGGGUUGGAAAGUUUCGGCGGUUGGGGAUGGACUCGCGGCUUAUCAGCUUGUUGGUGGGGUAGUGGCUUACCAAGGCUUUGACGGGUAGCCGGCCUGAGAGGGUGACCGGCCACAUUGGGACUGAGAUACGGCCCAGACUCCUACGUGAGGCAGCAGUGGGGAAUAUUGCACAAUGGGCGGAAGCCUGAUGCAGCAACGCCGCGUGCGGGAUGACGGCCUUCGGGUUGUAAACCGCUUUCGCCUGUGACGAAGCGUGAGUGACGGUAAUGGGUAAAGAAGCACCGGCUAACUACGUG